rnacentral:piRNA from 1 species
UGAAAUUCAGAGUAAGCUGAUGAAAAGUUU